ensembl:lncRNA
CAGAAGAAAGAAAUUCAUACAGGUUUGAAACAACAUGAGGGAUACUGAGGCACUGGGGCCACACACAAAGGCCAUGAAAAUGGGGAUCCUGGAAGUGACUGACAGUUCUACCAACUCAGGACCAUAUCCCACAGUGGUCAAUGUGACUGUAGUACUGGAGGAGGAAGUUGUCAUGUUUUACUGAAUUUCAUUUUGUAAAGCAGAUAUUUGUUUUUCCAGUACAGCUAUUGACUAAGAGUGAUAUGUCAUGCUUUCUUGAACUCUCAGAUCUUGUUUCGGCACUGGUUGAAUACUUGUGUAAUAUUUUACUUGAGCCUACAGGCAAGUUCAUAUGUAUUUAAAUAAAUACAUAAAAUGUUCUUUAUCAAAGCAUAGUGUGUAAUUUAUUUGAAAUAAUGAAAAAUAGACUAUUUUGACCAACAUUAAUGAAAAAUAGACUUAUUGGCCAACAUUAAAUAUUUAAUACAACAUUUUAUUUCAAUUUGAGUCUGCUUGUUGGCCCAACAAGCUAUGUUUAGUCAACAGAAAAUAUUUAAUUGACACAACAUUCUAUUUUAAGUUCAGUCUACAUGCAGGGGUAGUCAGCACAACACAAAAAAGUUGGUUUCCGCAACUUAAAUUGGGCCAACUAAAAAUUUUAGGUGCAACGGGUCACUAGAAAUUUUUAUGUUGGAGAGGCAUAUAUUUUUUUACAGUGUGAGUAUUUAUGUGUUUUUAACUUAAUUCACAGUAGCGUCCAUCUAUGAAGGAUGUAGACUGUCAAACAGACACAACUGUUAGCCAAUCACAGCAGUGGGUAUUUACUUCCGAGUCUUCAAUCCGUCACGUCUAUUCAAACAGAGCAUCCCGAUGAGGGGGUCAGAAAGGACAGAAAAUAGACUUUAAUUCUAAAUUAUGAUGUUUAUUAUGUAAAAAGGUUGAUAACAUUAUAAGUGGACCUCAGAGAACAGUACAAAAUAAUUUAAAAGGCAGUUCAUUACCCCUUUAAUUUAAUUUUUAGAUGUUUAAAAUCAUGUACACUGUCAAACACAAGCAUGGACCUAUUUUUUUUUUUUUUUUAGCUAGCUUUAUCUAAAUAUUAAAAAUAAAAUGGAUAGCUAUCCAAAUAAAUAAAUAAAUAAAUAAAUAAAUAAAUAAAUAAAUACUAUAACAGAUAACCUGUUGAUCUAAAAGUAGCUAACACUUGAAUGAACCCUGAAUAUGGAGUUUUCCAGGACCACAUGUGACCUAGACCUUAAUAGACCACCUAAUUAACUCCACCAAUUAUAAUUCUGAAGGCUGGAAGGCUGAACAUACAAACAAACUGUGGUUUCCAUAAUGAUUCCUUCAGAGAUGGAGGCUGGCAUUCUGUGUUAACAAUCCUGUGGGUCUGGCUUUCGCCUUGCUGGU